GAAUUCGCCCUUAGAGUUUGAUCCUGGCUCAGGACGAACGCUGGCGGCGCGCCUAACACAUGCAAGUCGAACGGAGCUUAGAGAGCUUGCUUUUUAAGCUUAGUGGCGAACGGGUGAGUAACGCGUGAGUAACCUGCCCUAGAGUGGGGGACAACAGUUGGAAACGACUGCUAAUACCGCAUAAGCCCACGGGAUCACAUGGUUCUGAGGUAAAAGAUUUAUCGGUUUGGGGUGGGCUCGCGUCCGAUUAGGUAGUUGGUGAGGUAACGGCCCACCAAGCCGACGAUCGGUAGCCGACCUGAGAGGGUGAUCGGCCACAUUGGGACUGAGACACGGCCCAAACUCCUACGGGAGGCAGCAGUGGGGAAUAUUGGGCAAUGGGGGGAACCCUGACCCAGCAACGCCGCGUGGAGGAAGAAGGUUUUCGGAUCGUAAACUCCUGUCCUUGGAGACGAGUAGAAGACGGUAUCCAAGGAGGAAGCCCCGGCUAACUACGUGCCAGCAGCCGCGGUAAUACGUAGGGGGCAAGCGUUGUCCGGAAUAAUUGGGCGUAAAGGGCGCGUAGGCGGCUCGGUAAGUCUGGAGUGAAAGUCCUGCUUUUAAGGUGGGAAUUGCUUUGGAUACUGUCGGGCUUGAGUGCAGGAGAGGUUAGUGGAAUUCCCAGUGUAGCGGUGAAAUGCGUAGAGAUUGGGAGGAACACCAGUGGCGAAGGCGACUAACUGGGCUGUAACUGACGCUGAGGCGCGAAAGUGUGGGGAGCAAACAGGAUUAGAUACCCUGGUAGUCCACACUGUAAACGAUGAAUGAUAGGUGUAGGGGGUAUCCGACCCCUUCUGUGCCGCAGUCCACACAAUAAGC
rnacentral:rRNA from 1 species